GGACUACCAGGGUAUCUAAUCCUGUUUGCUACCCACGCUUUCGUUCCUCAGCGUCAGUUACAGUCCAGAAAGCCGUCUACACCACAGGUGUUCCUUCUGAUAUCUACGCAUUUCACCGCUACACCAGAAAUUCCGCUUUCCUCUCCUGUACUCGAGCAUGCCAGUAUUCAGCGCACCCUCCCAGUUGAGCCGGGAGAUUUCACACUAAACUUGGCACACCGCCUACGAACUCUUUACGCCCAGUAAUUCCGAACAACGCUUGCUGCCUACGUAUUACCGCGGCUGCUGGCAC
rnacentral:rRNA from 1 species